rnacentral:rRNA from 1 species
UACAGAGGUCCCAAGCGUUGUUCGGAUUCACUGGGCGUAAAGGGUGCGUAGGUGGUUGGGAAAGUUUGAUGUGAAAGCUCGGAGCUUAACUCCGAAAUGGCAUUGAAUACUUCUUAACUUGAGGGUCGGAGGGGAGACUGGAAUUCUCGGUGUAGCAGUGAAAUGCGUAGAUAUCGAGAGGAACACCAGUGGCGAAGGCGAGUCUCUGGACGACUCCUGACACUGAGGCACGAAAGCUAGGGGAGCAAACAGG